CACGUGGGGCGCAAGCGUUGUUCGGAAUCACUGGGCGUAAAGGGCGUGUAGGCGGUCUAGUAAGUGGAAUGUGAAACGCCUCGGCUUACCCGAGGACCUGCAUCCCAAACUGCUUGGCUUGAGUAUGGGAGAGGAUGAGGGAAUUCCUGGUGUAGCGGUGAAAUGCGUAGAUAUCAGGAGGAACACCGGUGGCGAAAGCGCUCAUCUGGCCCAAUACUGACGCUGAGGCGCGAAAGCUAGGGGAGCAAACGGG
rnacentral:rRNA from 1 species